CAGAGGUCCCGAGCGUUGUUCGGAUUCACUGGGCGUAAAGGGUGCGUAGGUGGUGGGGUAAGUCGGAUGUGAAAUCUCCGGGCUCAACCCGGAAAAUGCAUUGGAAACUACCUUGCUAGAGGUUUUGAGGGGGGGACUGGAAUUCUCGGUGUAGCAGUGAAACGCGUAGAUAUCGAGAGGAACGCCGGUGGCGAAGGCGAGUCCCUGGAAAACACCUGACACUGAGGCACGAAAGCUAGGGGAGCAAACAGGAUUAGAUACCCUGGUAGUCCUAGCCCUAAACGGUGCUUGCUUGCUGUAAGUGGAAUCGACCCCACUUGUGGCGGAGCUAACGCGUUAAAGCAAGCCGCCUGGGAAGUACGGUCGCAAGAUUA
rnacentral:rRNA from 1 species